rnacentral:ribozyme from 1 species
CUAAAAAGGCAAGUGAACCUUUGCCUAGUCUUACACUUUUAAAAUUUAUUUUGAUUCACAGUGUAGGGCAAAACCUUCAAAUUGCGGGGAGUUCUUAAAGACAAAUCUACCAAGUUAAUGCAGUAAUGCGAUUAAUGGCACAGGUAAUGACUCGUGGUAUGGUAAAAACGAUUUGUAUGAAGAAAUGAAAUAGAUAAUCCGCAGCCAAGCACCGUUGCGCGGUACGCGUGGCGGUGUGCAGUUCAUCGACUAAACGGAGGUUGGUGAAUAAUUUACUUUUUUUUCAAGGUUUUUAUUAGACUUGUUAAUAGCAAUUAUACUGCGCG